AGGAUGAACGCUGGCGGCGUGCUUAACACAUGCAAGUCGAACGAAGCACUUGAGAUUGAAUCUUCGGAUGAGAACUCUUGUGACUGAGUGGCGGACGGGUGAGUAACGCGUGGGUAACCUACCUCAUACAGGGGGAUAACAGUUGGAAACGACCGCUAAUACCGCAUAACCCGCUAGUAUCGCAUGAUACGGACGGAAAAGAUUUAUCGGUAUGAGAUGGACCCGCGUCUGAUUAGCCAGUUGGCAGGGUAACGGCCUACCAAAGCAACGAUCAGUAGCCGGCCUGAGAGGGUGAACGGCCACAUUGGGACUGAGACACGGCCCAAACUCCUACGGGAGGCAGCAGUGGGGAAUAUUGCACAAUGGGGGAAACCCUGAUGCAGCGACGCCGCGUGAGUGAGGAAGUAUUUCGGUAUGUAAAGCUCUAUCAGCAGGGAAGAAAAUGACGGUACCUGACUAAGAAGCCCCGGCUAACUACGUGCCAGCAGCCGCGGUAAUACGUAGGGGGCAAGCGUUAUC
rnacentral:rRNA from 1 species